rnacentral:rRNA from 1 species
AGUGAACGCUGGCGGUAGGCCUAACACAUGCAAGUCGAACGGCAGCACAGUAAGAGCUUGCUCUUACGGGUGGCGAGUGGCGGACGGGUGAGGAAUACAUCGGAAUCUACUUUUUCGUGGGGGAUAACGUAGGGAAACUUACGCUAAUACCGCAUAUGACCUACGGGUGAAAGCAGGGGAUCUUCGGACCUUGCGCGAUUGAAUGAGCCGAUGUCGGAUUAGCUAGUUGGCGGGGUAAAGGCCCACCAAGGCGACGAUCCGUAGCUGGUCUGAGAGGAUGAUCGGCCACACUGGAACUGAGACACGGUCCAGACUCCUACGGGAGGCAGCAGUGGGGAAUAUUGGGCAAUGGGCGAAAGCCUGAUCCAGCCAUACCGCGUGAGUGAAGAAGGCCUUCGGGUUGUAAAGCCCUUUUGUUGGGAAAGAAAAACAGCAGGUUAAUACCCCGCUGUUCUGACGGUACCCAAAGAAUAAGCACCGGCUAACUUCGUG